CAAAAGCCCCCCGCUUACACCGAGGUAAUGUCUGUGCAACUCGGACCAUUUUGAGCCUAAAAUCUAGCCUAAUAAACCCCCAAUGCUCCAACUAAUUUGCUGCUUUAUAAACAAAACAUUUUAACAUUCUAGUACAGGAGAUCAAAAAAUUACUAAGCGCCUCAGAUAAAGUACCGCAAGGGAAAGAUGAAAUAAAAAUGAAAUAAUGUUAAAGCCCCAAACAGCAGAGACUUUCCCUCGUACCUUUUGCAUCAUGGUCUAGCUAGUCUAAUCAAGCAAAAAGAAAUUUUAGUUUGACAUCCCGAAACUAAGUGAGCUACUUCAAAACAGCUUUAAGAGCUAACCCGUCUCUGUUGCAAAAGAGUGGGGAGAUUUUCAAGUAGAGGUGAUAAGCCUACCGAACUUAGAGAUAGCUGGUUGUUCAGGAAAAGAGUUUUAGCUCUACCUUAAGACAUCAUAUGCUUAUUAACAUAUAAUUUGACUUAAGAGCUAUUCAAAUAAGGCACAGCUUAUUUGAAAAAGGAUACAACCUUUAACACUGGGUAAACUAAGGGCAAUCUAAACAAAGUUGGCCUAAAAGCAGCCACCUUUUUAAAAGCGUCACAGCUUAACUCUCCAAUACCCAUAAUUUCUCUAAAUUUCCUCAACCCUUAAUCAAUACUGAACUAUUUUAUAUCUCUAUAAAAAACAUCAUGCUAGAACUAGUAACAAGAACACGCUUUUCUCCUAAAUGUAAGUAUAAACCAAAACGGACCAUCCAUUGGUAAUUAACGCAAAUGCCACUAUUAUAGCAACACCCAACUAGAAAACCCUAUAAUUUAUAACGUUAAUCUUACACCAGAACAUUACAGGAAAGAUUUAAAGAGAAAGAAGGAACUCGGCAAACUUUAGCCCCGCCUGUUUACCAAAAACAUCGCCUCUUGAUUAAUAUAAGAGGUCCAGCCUGCCCAGUGACAUAGUUUAACGGCCGCGGUAUCCUAACCGUGCGAAGGUAGCAUAAUCACUUGUUCUCUAAAUAAGGACUAGUAUCAACGGCAUCACGAGGGCUACACUGUCUCCUUUCUCCAAUCAGUGAAACUGAUCUCCCCGUGAAGAAGCGGGGAUUCAAAUAUAAGACGAGAAGACCCCAUGGAGCUUUAAGCACCGUAUUUACCCUUACAAUAAACCAACUAAACUAAAAAGACCUAAAUACCCGCUUUUGGUUGGGGGGACCGCGGAGUACAACAUACCCUCCGCAACAAAUGGGCCACGCCCUUAUCUAUGAGUUACAACUCUAAGAAUCAACAAACUGAUGCCUUUUGACCCGAUAAGUCGAUCAACGAACCAAGUUACCCUGGGGAUAACAGCGCAAUCUACUUCAAGAGCUCAUAUCGACAAGUAGGUUUACGACCUCGAUGUUGGAUCAGGGUACCCCAGUGGUGCAGCCGCUAC
rnacentral:rRNA from 1 species